rnacentral:rRNA from 1 species
UACGGGGGGGGCAAGCGUUGUUCGGAAUUACUGGGCGUAAAGGGCUCGUAGGCGGCCAACUAAGUCAGACGUGAAAUCCCUCGGCUUAACCGGGGAACUGCAUCUGAUACUGGAUGGCUUGAGUUCGGGAGAGGGAUGCGGAAUUCCAGGUGUAGCGGUGAAAUGCGUAGAUAUUGGGAGGAACACCGGUGGCGAAGGCGGCUAUCUGGACCGGUACUGACGCUGAGACGCGAAAGCGUGGGGAGCAAACAGG